CCGAGCCGGAGGAGGAGGUGGAAGGAGCCGCCGGCGGCUGCCGCCUGUGCGCGGGGCUCCACCGCGGCGCGUCCUCGGGGUUUCUGGGCUGCAGGCGGCGCUGCGCGGCCCGGGAACUUGUUGAGUCUACCCCCCAGCCGCCUCCGGGAGCAGCCGGAGGGCGGGGGGACCCGGCGUUUUCUCUCCCGGGAGGGGUGGCUGGGGUCCCCGCGCGAUGGCUGCCGGCUCUGCCAGUGGGCCCAGCCCCGCGGGGCUUUGAAAUCCCGGAGCUCGGGAAGGGGGGCGGGGAGGGGGCUUAGGCGUCUGCCCCCUCACCUGCGGAUGGCUGCCUAGUGGAGGCCAGGGUCAGGGGCGUGCUUCCCGGAGGAGUCCACCCCGGGGUCAGCCUCUGUAAGCGGAGGCCGACAGGCAGGCCAGCUGUGAGUGUUGAGGCCAGAAGGGGGAGUGCCCUCUGGGUCUGUUGCCCGCUGACAUUAGGAACACUCCAGAGCUGGCGGCAGUGCCGCUCCUGCUCGAAACCCCCCUCCCUCCCUGACACACACACCGCCGGCCUGCAGAUGCCACAGGGUAUGUGUUGCUUUUGUUCCAGGGCAGAGUUGAGCUCACUUGGGGAGGAAGCCGGCAGGGAUGCACGAGGAGCCUCCUUUGGGACACAGGUCUCCAGUCCUUUGGCAUCCGGAGGUACCCAGGAAGGGAGUCCUGAACGUGUGACUCCAAACUCUGCCCACUCACUCCUUUGAUCGUCUUUUCUUACUCCCCAUCCCGAGUUUCAUUUUCAGCCUGUUUACUUCUCUGGCCGGCCCACGGUGCUGCUGAGAGCCGGCUGGAGACAUGUGCGAGCAGAUACGUGAACCGCCCGGGGACCCGUAACCCCCUGCUCUGCCUGGAAGGGACCCGAUGUUGGGCCGUGUCGGACUUGGGGGACCUAAGAUGCCAGGUGGGAGGGAUCAUUGCCACGGAUCGCGCCAGUGUAAUUCCCCUGGGGAUGUGCUGUCGUUAUUGCAGGCCCAGUAUUUCUCCCAGUGGUCCGGGUAGCUUUCUGUAAAUCUUGCUUUAUUGCUAAUCCAUAAAAUCGAAAUCUGCCUUCCAUCUCUUAAACAUGUCACUGUAAAUAAAACUACCAGGAAAUACUGAAAUUGUGCUGGUGGUAAUGGACAGCUAAAGUUUGAGGGGCCAUGAGUGAAAACAGAUAAACAUGAAUGCAUGCACGGGAGGAUGGAACGGAACCACGGGGGGCAGUGUGAGCUGGCAGGAAGAAGGCUCCAGGGACGGUGUUAUUUGAGAUCCACAUGGUGUGUAAUUCUAGGAAGAAAAUGGAAAACUGUAAUUGGCAGGUUAGAAAACCCACUUAUAUGAAGAAGAGAGUUUAAUGAACUUCUUAGUGUCAUCAAGACUACCUUUUGGUGCUCAAUUGUCUAGGAAAUUCAUAGU